rnacentral:rRNA from 1 species
AUACGUAGGGUGCAAGCGUUAAUCGGAAUUACUGGGCGUAAAGCGUGCGCAGGCGGUUUUGUAAGACAGAGGUGAAAUCCCCGGGCUCAACCUGGGAACUGCCUUUGUGACUGCAAGGCUAGAGUACGGCAGAGGGGGAUGGAAUUCCGCGUGUAGCAGUGAAAUGCGUAGAUAUGCGGAGGAACACCGAUGGCGAAGGCAUGCCCCUGGGCCUGUACUGACGCUCAUGCCCGAAAGCGUGGGGAGCAAACAGGAUUAGAUACCCUGGUAGUCCACGCCCUAAACGAUGUCAACUGGUUGUUGGGUCUUCAUGGACUCAGUAACGAAGCUAACGCGUGAAGUUGACCGCCUGGGGAGUACGGCAGCAAGGUUGAAACUCAAAGGAAUUGACGGGG